rnacentral:misc_RNA from 1 species
GUGAAUCAUCAAAUUUUUGAACGCAAAUUGCACUCUCUGGUAUUCCGGAGAGUAUGCCUGUUUGAGGGUCAGUUUAAAUAAAAAUCGGUGUGGGUGCUGCUUUUCGUGGUGACGCACCGGAUGUGGGUCUUCUUACCUUCGGUUAAGUGACCUAAAAUUUUUCAUGAUUUUCUUGAACGAAUUUAAAUGAUUUUACGUAUGUUUUCGAUUUCGAAGACUAGGUGCGGUCAUCCUCAUGAUCCGCGCCUAUAA